CCCACAAGCAGGCUUCCAGGUUCAGGUUGCGGUAGAAGCGCAAGGUCUUGAAGCCUCUAAUUGUUGGGCUGUACUGAUAGGGAAUGGUCUCUCCAAUCACAUCUGGAUUCUUGGUAGCAUCAGUUAAAAAACCAUGGUAUCCAAAAGACAUGGAGAAUUAGGAGAAAGGAAAAAUUUUUCUUUAUACAAUGCUUUACUGUGUCAAGACAGUUUUUUCACCGCCUCUAUGAACAACAGAAGAAAAGCUGAUGUGGUAAUGUUAAAACGCCUGAUCAUGUAACCAGCUUUUGUUAGGACUGAAUUUGGGAUCCAAAAGAGACCUGUGAAUCUUGCAGUAGAACCAUUCAACUUGUGACAUUCCUGUGCAAAAGCAAUGUGUGAAAAACAAAUUGAAGACGGACAAAACAUUCUUCAAGAGAUACUCACUGUGAUACAGAUGACAGGAUAGCCAGCAAUGGGACUGCUUCUGUCUUUGGCUUUAGAAGUAUCAUCAUAUAUCAACAGAGAUGCAACUUGAGGGACAGAGGGAAAGGUGACAUCUGCCAUGCUGUUCAUUUCUUCGAUGUAAACAAUGGCCUUGGCUGUCUGACAAUGAAAAGGACAGAGACAGUUCUCUGUGAAAAUUUAAAUAAACAAGCUGGAGUUUUGGAACUCGAUCAGAA